rnacentral:rRNA from 1 species
AGUGAACGCUGGCGGCGUGCCUAAUACAUGCAAGUAGAACGCAGUUGGGAACGUGAGAGUAACGCGUAGGUAACUGCCUGGUAGUGGGGGAUAACUAUUGGAAACGAUAGCUAAUAACGCAUACUACCAGAUGGACCUGCGUUGUAUUAGCUAGUUGGGGGGGUAACGGCCCACCAAGGCAACGAUACAUAGCCGACCUGAGAGGCUGAUCGGCCACACUGGGACUGAGACACGGCCCAGACUCCUACGGGAGGCAGCAGUAGGGAAUCUUCGGCAAUGGGGGGAACCCUGACCGAGCAACGCCGCGUGAGUGAAGAAGGUUUUCGGUUCGUAAAGCUCUGUUGUUAGGGAAGCGGUACUUAACCAGAAAGCGACGGCUAACUACGUGCCAGCAGCCGCGGUAAUUC